rnacentral:rRNA from 1 species
GACGAACGCUGGCGGCGUGCCUAAUACAUGCCAGUCGGACGCACAGUUUAUACCGUAGCUUGCUACACCAUAGACUGUGAGUUGCGAACGGGUGAGUAACGCGUAGGUAACCUGCCUGGUAGCGGGGGAUAACUAUUGGAAACGAUAGCUAAUACCGCAUAAUAUUGAUUAUUGCAUGAUAAUUGAUUGAAAGAUGCUAUUGCAUCACUACCAGAUGGACCUGCGUUGUAUUAGCUAGUAGGUGAGGUAACGGCUCACCUAGGCGACGAUACAUAGCCGACCUGAGAGGGUGAUCGGCCACACUGGGACUGAGACACGGCCCAGACUCCUACGGGAGGCAGCAGUAGGGAAUCUUCGGCAAUGGACGAAAGUCUGACCGAGCAACGCCGCGUGAGUGAAGAAGGGUUUCGGAUCGUAAAGCUCUGUUGUAAGAGAAGAACGGGUGUGAGAGUGGAAAGUUCACACUGUGACGGUAGCUUACCAGAAAGGGACGGCUAACUACGUG